rnacentral:lncRNA from 1 species
GGCACUUUUUUUUUUUCCUAUCGUAAGAGCUCUCUGAAGUCUUGUUUGCAGAACUGUCUGCAAGGCUGCUUGUCACCUUCGAAUAUACUCCAUCAACAUGCUGCCACUUCAUCUUGUUUAGGCUCUUCGACUGCUUUAUAGAAGGACACUGAAGUCCACAUCUAUCUCCUUGAGACAGGCAAAGAAACAAAUCCUUUAUCCUGUCUCAAAAAGAGCUGACAAGCUUUUAGUAGUGUUUAUCUUCACUGAAGGGUGAUAACCUUGAAAAUGAAAGUGAAAAGAGACUGAUACAAUUAGGUAUGUAGUCUUCUCCAUACUGUAUUACAAUUGGUUUUCUUUUAUAGUUUAACAUAGUAUAACAUUCUUUUAUAGUUUUAUAUAAGUCGAAGUUUUCUGUUGUCCACACUGGUUUUUCUAAAACUAAAUUUAAAGUUACAGUUUAUUUACAAAAUAUCAGUGCAUCAUGUUGUGACUAUUUUGCAAAAAUGUAAUUUUCCUCUUAAGCCAGAAGGGGUUAAAAAUAUUUCUUUGAAAUGUUUUAUCCUACCAUUCUUCCCAUAUCAUCUAUGCCAUUUUUUUCUCUCCCUUGACAUUUGACUCCAUGUUAUGUCAUAUUCAGAGAGAUUUUUCUAAAAUAAAUUUCCCAGAUUACAGGCAAAUCUUAGAAUUCUAAUUAUUUACAUCUUAUAGAGUCAAGGACAGUAAAGGGUAGAUUUGACAUUUCAUUAAUAACUUGUGUAUUCAAAUUUCCAUUUGUGUUAAAUUGUGCCCACUCCCGAGGUUCCAACAAAUAUAGAUAUGCCUGGCAAGCUAGUAGCUUGGUUAUCCACAGGUCAUUUUGUGUGAACAACCAUGAGUCCCUUAGAAAAGAAUUCAUCCUGCUGUGAGUUGGCUGAAAGCAAAAAAUACAAAAAAGAAAAGAAAAGAAGAAAGGAAAAUAGCUCAUCCUAUCAGAACAAGAAGUCAGACACAAAGAUUUGGCCACUAGAGGAGAGUGGUGUCUCUGAGUCCAAUGUCAUGUCUGCUUUGUCCCCAUGCCAGCUCCACAAGUUUUCAUGUCUAAGUCACAGGGGGGAAAGAGUCCACGAGCAAAAAAUCUAAGUGUAACUCAAA